ACUUCGGUAAUGUAGUGGUAGCACACGUCCUCGGUAUGGAUGAAACACGGGUUCGACACCCGCCUGAGGCC